UACGGGGGGGGCAAGCGUUGUUCGGAAUUACUGGGCGUAAAGGGCUCGUAGGCGGCCAACUAAGUCAGACGUGAAAUCCCUCGGCUUAACCGGGGAACUGCGUCUGAUACUGGAUGGCUUGAGAUUGGGAGAGGGAUGCGGAAUUCCAGGUGUAGCGGUGAAAUGCGUAGAUAUCUGGAGGAACACCGAUGGCGAAGGCAGGUCUCUGGGCAUUAACUGACGCUGAGGAGCGAAAGCAUGGGGAGCGAACAGG
rnacentral:rRNA from 1 species